UACGGGGGGAGCAAGCGUUGUUCGGAUUUACUGGGCGUAAAGGGCGCGUAGGCGGCCAGCACAAGUCAGUUGUGAAAUCUCCGAGCUUAACUCGGAAAGGUCAACUGAUACUGUGCGGCUAGAGUGCGGAAGGGGCUACUGGAAUUCUCGGUGUAGCGGUGAAAUGCGUAGAUAUCGAGAGGAACACCUGCGGCGAAGGCGGGUAGCUGGGCCGACACUGACGCUGAUGCGCGAAAGCCAGGGGAGCGAACGGG
rnacentral:rRNA from 1 species